rnacentral:rRNA from 2 species
GAAUGCUGACAUAAGUAACGAUAAAGCGGGUGAAAAGCCCGCUCGCCGGAAGACCAAGGGUUCCUGUCCAACGUUAAUCGGGGCAGGGUGAGUCGACCCCUAAGGCGAGGCCGAAAGGCGUAGUCGAUGGGAAACAGGUUAAUAUUCCUGUACUUGGUGUUACUGCGAAGGGGGGACGGAGAAGGCUAUGUUAGCCGGGCGACGGUUGUCCCGGUUUAAGCAUGUAGGCUGGUUAUCCAGGCAAAUCCGGAUAAUCAAGGCUGAGGUGUGAUGACGAGGCACUACGGUGCUGAAGUAACAAAUGCCCUGCUUCCAGGAAAAGCCUCUAAGCAUCAGGUAACAUCAAAUCGUACCCCAAACCGACACAGGUGGUCAGGUAGAGAAUACCAAGGCGCUUGAGAGAACUCGGGUGAAGGAACUAGGCAAAAUGGUGCCGUAACUUCGGGAGAAGGCACGCUGGUGUGUAGGUGAAGCCCCUGCGGGUGGAGCUGAGACCAGUCGAAGAUACCAGCUGGCUGCAACUGUUUAUUAAAAACACAGCACUGUGCAAACACGAAAGUGGACGUAUACGGUGUGACGCCUGCCCGGUGCCGGAAGGUUAAUUGAUGGGGUUAUCCGUAAGGAGAAGCUCUUGAUCGAAGCCCCGGUAAACGGCGGCCGUAACUAUAACGGUCCUAAGGUAGCGAAAUUCCUUGUCGGGUAAGUUCCGACCUGCACGAAUGGCGUAAUGAUGGCCAGGCUGUCUCCACCCGAGACUCAGUGAAAUUGAACUCGCUGUGAAGAUGCAGUGUACCCGCGGCAAGACGGAAAGACCCCGUGAACCUUUACUAUAGCUUGACACUGAACAUUGAGCCUUGAUGUGUAGGAUAGGUGGGAGGCUUUGAAGCGUGGACGCCAGUCUGCGUGGAGCCAACCUUGAAAUACCACCCUUUAAUGUUUGAUGUUCUAACGUUGGCCCCUUAUCGGGGUUGCGGACAGUGUCUGGUGGGUAGUUUGACUGGGGCGGUCUCCUCCCAAAGCGUAACGGAGGAGCACGAAGGUUAGCUAAUCCUGGUCGGACAUCAGGAGGUUAGUGCAAUGGCAUAAGCUAGCUUGACUGCGAGCGUGACGGCGCGAGCAGGUGCGAAAGCAGGUCAUAGUGAUCCGGUGGUUCUGAAUGGAAGGGCCAUCGCUCAACGGAUAAAAGGUACUCCGGGGAUAACAGGCUGAUACCGCCCAAGAGUUCAUAUCGACGGCGGUGUUUGGCACCUCGAUGUCGGCUCAUCACAUCCUGGGGCUGAAGUAGGUCCCAAGGGUAUGGCUGUUCGCCAUUUAAAGUGGUACGCGAGCUGGGUUUAGAACGUCGUGAGACAGUUCGGUCCCUAUCUGCCGUGGGCGCUGGAGAAUUGAGGGGGGCUGCUCCUAGUACGAGAGGACCGGAGUGGACGCAUCACUGGUGUUCGGGUUGUCAUGCCAAUGGCACUGCCCGGUAGCUAAAUGCGGAAGAGAUAAGUGCUGAAAGCAUCUAAGCACGAAACUUGCCCCGAGAUGAGUUCUCCCUGAGACUU